rnacentral:rRNA from 1 species
CGCGUAGGCGGCAUGACAAGUCACUUGUGAAAUCUCCGGGCUUAACUCGGAACGGCCAAGUGAUACUGUCGCGCUAGAGUGCGGAAGGGGCAAUCAGAAUUCUUGGUGUAGCGGUGAAAUGCGUAGAUAUCGGGAGGAACACCUGUGGCGAAGGCGGCCCCCUGGUUGGAUACUGACGCUGAUACGCGAAAGCGUGGGGAGCAAAACA